CUGCACGCAAAGAAAAACUGGAUCGAUUCUCUAAAAGACGUCAUUACUCUGACGAAAAGCACAGAGCAGCUGAUUUGACCACCACUAGAUGAGAUAAUGUGGCAAAGAGCAGAGGAGAAGGAGAAACCAGGGUUUUUGUCCUGCUGGUGGUGAGAUGGGUUGCAGUUGUUUGAUCGAUCAGUCAGCGGAGGCCACGCUUCUAAGAAAAACAAAGACGAACAAAGAGAGUAGACACAAGAGAGCAGGAAAAAAGAGGAAUAGAUCCACGACCAGGACUGUGACAAUGACCUUACUUAAAGCUCUAGUAAGGAACUUUCUGUUUGUAUCUUUGCUUUUUUUGUCCUUUACAUGUUUGAGGAGUGGCUUUUGACAUUACGUCUUAUCCUGCUGAGUUCUGACAGUCAAAUCUAUCAUUUCAUCAUGAAUACUUAAUGUAGACAUAAUAAUAACUGUACUGUUUCUUCAGCUGCUUGACUGACACCUACUCCCUCGCAGCAGUUUAAGGCAUUAAAACCAGCUGGAAACAAGAACUAUUUAUUGAUAUAGAUAAAUAAAAUAAGUGACUGUAAAAUAUUGAAAAAAUAUCUGCAAUGAAACAAAAAUAAAAAUACAAAAGAUAGUGUGGAUCCCACACUUUAACAUUUACUGUACUUAAAUUGUAAAUUAAGAAUCAUUAACUUUCUGCCUGUCUUUCUAAGAGCUAUCACAGCUGGGAUUUUAAGAUUUAUUUAAUUUUUUGGUUGCUUUUAAGUGUAUCAAAACACAUAUUUUAUUAUGGUAAAAUACUGUUUAUAUUCUGGUAUGAUGAUUUUACUUCCUAGAAAUCACUGUAAUCAGCUCAUGAUAAACAGAAUAUUAGAUAAGAAUAUAAUAGAAGUGAGAAAAAAAGAAUUAAAUAGAAAAGAAUGGACUUAAAAAGGCAUUUGUUGCCACAGCUGUUUUUGCACUUUGCAUUAUUUUAUUUUUUUGCUGAUUGUUAAUGCUGCAAAUUGUUGUUACUGCACGGUCUCUUUGGUGGAUAUUAUUUCACAUUGCUAUUGCACCAAGGCAGAUGAAGAUUUGUUUCCUGUCUGAAUAAUAAACCCUACAUUUAGUAAACACUUAGAAGGUGCAUUAAUAAACGCAGUCAGUAUCUGCAGUCAGAAUUAUGAAAUAACAACAAUGCAUUUUUGCUGUUUUAUUCCCUUUAACAAAAUCUGUUUUCCUGCAACCACAAGAUGGCAGAGUUGCACACAGAGUGUUAAAGUAGGGUACAUCUCAGUUUAUACAACCAAAUAACCUUUGCAAGCCGACUGAAGUGCAACAUGAAGAAGCUGAACCAGUUUAAAGCAGCUGUCAGUGAUUUAUUCAUGGUUUCAUGCUCAUAUCAUUCAAUUUUAAAACACCAGCAGAGAGUGAGAUGAAUGUUUCUGUUUACUCUGACGGAGUAAAGACGCUGGUAAGACGCUUAAACGUGAUUAUUUGGAAGCAGAUGUUGUAUACAAAACAUGAGAGAUAAGAUAAAUGUAAGACACACAGCAGUCUAAAGUAGGCCCGUGAGGAGAGAGAGUCUCAGCAGUCAAUACAUGAUUCACACUCUUUCCUUCUCAUCACACUGCUGAGUGCUGAUCUGUGCAGUCUCCCGUUUUUUUUUUGCGUUCAGUCCUUUUUCUGCUCCCGUCGGUGCAAAACACACCUUUGUGCUGAAGGUUUACCGGGGAGCCUAAUGUGACGUCAAGCUGGGGAGAAGGAAAAAGAAACAGCAUUGCCAUGGAAACCUGUCUCCCUCGGUUUCUGUAUGAUCUCUGAUCCAUUGUGGAUGUGAGAACAUGAAGGCUGGAUUAUUGCACAGGCUGCAGCUCAGCACAAAGAAAAGCAGCGUUUUUUUGGAGAGAGGGGAGAUACUUUCGGGUCAAAACAGGCAGGAUGAGAGGGAGAAGAAAAUGUCUGCAGACAGCAGCUCCGUGUGUUUGGAUGUGAUGACAUGAGCAGGUUUUAGGUACUUUGGUACCUCGUCAAUGUAAGACCUUUCAUCAUCACCAUCAAUUGAAUCGUCUUCACCACAAUAAUGACCGAAGUACAAAGUGCUGGGUCACUCAUAAAGAGCUGGGCACAAAAUUCAGUUUUGGUUACUACGUUGUUCACACCAAAAAAAUGCUGAGUUGUUUUUUCAACCCAACCACUAGAUUGAACCUGCUGGUCAAUUUAUUUGGGUUAUUUCCAUGGAGCUGGGUAUUCAGAGUUCCCAAUUCGCAAGGUUAUUUAUGUUGGGAACAGAGUUAUUAGCUGUUGGGUUGUAAUUUAUAUAUAGUUUUGUUAGUUUAUUGUGGACUACCAAACACAUCUGCAGGGCUCUCAAGUUUUGAACUAAGCUUAGAGUGAUAUUUCUAGAGUGACUUAGAGUGAUUGAAGAUAAUUAUUAGUAUAAUAAUCUAAUAAAUACAAUGGAGUAUGAGGGCCACAUUAAGAAAGAAAAAAACAUUUUUAAAUCUUUAAGCUUAAAGUUAUUAUUUAGGAGAAUAAAGUCAUUAAUGACUUUAAGAAUAAAGUAGUAAAGUUACCUGUUGUGGAGGAGAGUUGUUAUUUCAGCACUGAGGAGCAUUUAGAUGAAUUGUACUUUGGUAUAGGUUUCACAAACACGGAGAUAUUUAAUCCUUUGGUACAUCAGCAUUAAAUUGUCAUGAGCAUCAGAACUUUAAAAAGAAUAUAUGAGAAAUGCUGCUUUUGUGGAGGGGAAAUGGCUGUACAGAGGCUAAAUUCAUCAAUGCAGCUGUUAAUAGCAAUAGCAUAGGGCUUUAGUUUAUCAUAUGAGUUUAUAUGCCAUGAGGUGUUGAGGUCUCUGCAUGUGUAGGUUACUGACUUACUGUAAUCAUCGGGUCUAUCUCGUCCCUAUAAAAACCUGCUCUAUUUCGGCGAGUGUCUGUCUUCUUCUGUGGUAAAACCGCAACAUAUCAAAAUUUACCCGGAUACAGCAAUGCUGCUUUUUGAUUGGCUGUUCAGUAGAUAUACUUUAUUUGAUUGGCUUGCGCGUGGCACGCAGCUUCUGAACUCUCGGAGAAACUCAGUUGAUUUCUACCUGUUCCAUAGUUAAAGAGGUGCAACUUGGUGGACAUUACCAUGUUCAUUUAAAUUCGUGAGAAAUACAAUGUGUGGCGUGUGAGCGUGUAAACGGAUGGGAAUGCGUGUGUCACACGCUGAAUGCGUGAGACUUGAGAGCCCUGCAUCUGGUAGACGUUCAUGUAUUUAAAACCAAGCACCACCCACUCACCAGACUAUUCAUGUUUGUUGUGCAGCAAAUCAACUUGCGAAUGAGUUUAAAGGCCUUUUGGACUCGUGUGGCCUCACUCAAUCUGUAAAUGCACCAACGCACGAACACGGGCACACUCUUGACCUUGUCAUUUCUCGUGGGCUUUCAGUUUCCCUUAGAGAAAUAGUCGACACUGCUAUCUCGGAUCAUCUUCCGAUUGUUUUUGAUGUUGUUGCCCCCCCACCUCCCAACAAACCCAUUUCCCCAGCCUGUAGACGCCGUAUCUUCACUCCAUCAACGGCCAGAGAGUUUGCUAUCGCCUUUGGGAACUCUCAGAUGCAUGCUGACAGUGGACUGGUCCCCUCCCUCUGUCCGGACACCCUGCUCUCCACAUUUCACUCUACAUGCUCUGGAAUUCUGGAUUCUGUUGCCCCUUUUCGGCAAAAAAUCACCAAAACCAAGGCUGAUCCCUGGUUAAACGACCACACCCGUCUGCUCAGACAACAAUGCAGACAGGCUGAGCGGCGGUGGAAAAAGGACAAACUGCAUGUCUCACUGGGUUGGUUAAGGGACAGUUUGGCUGCUUAUCAGAGAGCUGUGAAGGAGGCAAAGUCCAAAUAUUUGUCCUCUGUUAUAGCCAACAGCUCUAAUCAUCCGAGAGUACUAUUUAGCACGAUUGACUCUGUUAUUAACCCAUGCUCUACUGUCCUGUCUGAUGCCUCCUCCUCCCCCUGUGAAGAGUUUGCCUCUUUCUUCAUAGACAAAGUGGCAUCAGUCAGGCAGAAUAUCAGUUAUAUGUUAACGUCCCCCAAUGAUGUGUGUGCUCCUCCUGCACUAUCUGCUGUUUUUGAGAACUUCGAAACAAUUUCUCUGUCGUCUCUCACUAAGGUGGUUAGUGGCUUAAAACCCACUAACUGUCCCUUUGACAUUAUUCCAGCCAAGUUUCUAAAGGAGGUAUUUAGUUCUGUUGGAUCAAGCUUGCUGUUUUUUAUCAACACCUGUCUUAGCUCAGGGUCUGUCCCAGCUGCUUUCAAACAUGCUGUGGUUAGGCCCCUCCUCAAAAAACGCAUCUUGACCCCACUGUGCUGUCCAAUUUUAGGCCUGUCUCCCACCUGCCAUUUCUUUCUAAGGUUUUGGAAAAAGUUGUCUCCUUUCAAUUGCAUGCAUUUUUAGAGGUAAAUUCUGUUCUUGAUAAAUUUCAGUCUGGUUUCAGGUCUCGACAUAGCACUGAGUCAGCACUGUUAAAGGUACAUAAUGAUAUUGCCCUGUCCGUGGAUGCUGGAAACCCCGCUGUGCUGGUCCUGCUGGACCUCACAGCGGCUUUUGAUACAGUCGAUCAUGCAAUCCUUGUAUCUCGCCUUGAGCAGUAUGUAGGCAUCCGUGGCACCGCUCUCAAAUGGUUUAAGUCGUACCUGGCAGAUAGGAGUUUUUCCGUGAUGAUUGGUGACCUCUGCUCCUCACAGGCGCCUCUCUCUUGUGGGGUGCCACAGGGCUCUAUUCUUGGCCCUAUUCUGUUCUCUUUGUAUUUACUACCCCUGGGAUCAAUUAUAAGAAAAUACAAUCUGUCUUUUCAUUCGUAUGCUGAUGACUUACAGUUAUAUUUGCCCAUGCGACCCAACGAGAGCAGUGCACUUUCUCACUUACUGGACUGUAUUACUGAAGUAAAACAGUGGUUGGCUCUGAACUUUUUGCACCUAAAUGACAGCAAAACUGAGUGUAUUUUAUUUGGCACGCCAUCGAUAUCAAACGUUUCGAUUACAGACUCUGGAAAUCUGGCGCCUUUUUUCAAGCCACAUGUAAAGAAUCUUGGGGUAACAUUUGACAGUGGACUUAAGUUCGAUAAACAGAUUAGAUCUGUCGUCAGUACCAGCUUUUUUCAACUGCGUCUCCUGGCCAAAGUGAAGUCCUUUUUAAGUCGGCAGGAACUCGAGAAGGCAAUCCAUGCCUUCAUCAGUUCCAGACUGGACUAUUGUAAUGCCCUUUAUGUUGGCCUCAGCCAGUCUUUAAUCUCCCGUCUCCAGCUUGUACAGAACGCUGCUGCACGAUUUUUAACGGGCACGUCUAGGCGUGAACACAUCACCCCUGUGCUGUCUUCGCUACACUGGCUUCCAGUUUGUUUUAGAAUUGACUUUAAACUUUUAUUAUUUACUUUUUAUGCCAUAAAUGGCCUGGCCCCCUCCUACCUGUCAGAGAUUUUAACUGUUCGCGAUCAUGGCAGGGCCCUCCGUUCCUCCGGUCAGCGCCUGUUGGAGGUCCCGAGGUCAAAACUCAAACAGUGGGGUGAUCGUUCUUUUGCUGUUGCAGCCCCUAGGCUGUGGAACAGACUGCCGCUAGAUGUACGCACCACCACUGACCUCAGUUUAUUUAAAUCAAAGUUAAAGACGCACCUUUUUAGACUUGCUUUUAACUCUGACUAGGUAGUCCUGUACUUAUAGGUUUUUAGCACUUCUACAUACUAUUUUAUUGUAUUAUUUUAUUUUCAUAUUCAUUUUUAUUAUUGCAUCGUUCUUGUAUUAUUCUAUUUCUAUUGUAUUAUUUUAUAAUGGUAUUUUUUCUUGUGUUAUUUUAUUGCUUUUAUGUAAAGCACUUUGGGUACCAUUUGGGAUAUUGUAAAGUGCUAUAUAAAUAAAAUUUGAUUGAUUGAUUGAUUGAUGCCACAAGUGCUGAAACGGAGACGUACAAAGCGAGGUUUGUUACAUUCCCACGAUUGCUUAACAAUAUAGAUAACUUGAUAUUAUUAUACAAACCCUCAUUUUGUUGCUAAGAUGUAAGUUUGUGAAGCACUGUUGUGUACCAGCUUCUACCUUCAGGAAUCGAUUGGUCGUUAGCAAGCUAAUGGAUAGCUAACGUUAGUAGCAUAGGGAAGCUAACACUAGCUUCAAAUAGGAUUCACCAUGUUGGAUUGCUAGUGACUAGCAGCAGUAAACGCAAGAUCUGCUGGCGGGAACCGACUGCAGCUACCUGGACAGCUACUGUGUUGACAUUGCAGAGACUAAUAAGAGUUAUUUUUCCGUCCGUCUCCAUCACAGCUCCUGUAGCUAAGCUGCUACGCUACCUUUAGCCGCUCAGAGCUACGAAGAGGGCUGGGAGAGUGGGAGGGGAUGAGUCGGAAACACGGUUGAGGAAUGUGUGGAAUACGGCGAGGUGAUUGGAUGGAGAGACGGAGCAGGAGAUAGACCAAUAAGAGCUGUCCAGGAUGAAUGGCUCCUAUUGGUCAAUGUUUUUGCAGCCCUGCAGCUGCUAUGGUGAACAGAUUUUUUCUUUUUUUUUUUCUCUUCACUUUGUGGAGAUCGCACUAUAAGACCAUGAUCGCCAUGUAAACGAGGUUCAUAAUAGUUACCAAUCUCUCCAAUCGUCAACCAUGCCUUUAAGCUGUAAUGUUUUAUCGCUUGCCUCGCCUUUACUCCGUUGUCAUUGCUAUCAAUGUUUGGAAUGUGCAGGAAACUUUUAUGUGACAAAGAAAAAUACAUGCAUAACAAGCACGACUGCAUCAGCAAGAAAACAAAGAGCUUGUAAACGAAGUGUAAUGGGUGGAGGGUAAUCCAGCUUUAUUUCACAGCUCUGUUGAAUAUUGUGAUUCUGAUAUGACAAACACUCCCUAUUCAGUGACUUAAAAUUGAGUCUGAAAUAGGCAGCAUCUGUAAGCUCACAUCCUUCCCUUCAGCCUGUGUAGAAGCAGCUCUGCAGACGCUCAUUUAGGCCACUUCAGAUCUCAUCCGGUCCAAACAUACAGUCGUUAUCUCCGGGGACGUUUCUCUGUCUUUUCCACACUGCGGUGCACAUGUCGACCCCUUCCCUCACGUGGAUUUGUUAUUGUGAGUGUGUGACGCUGUGAGAUUGUUUGCAUUGGUGACGUCACCUCCCUGAUUUCAUUUGCAUUGAAUAGAAAGACCCUAAUAUCCUGGAGCAUGGAUCCCUCUGAGAAAAGAAGAAAAGACUGCGUCUCUAACAGCUGUGUGUGGUGAGGCACGAUGAGUUUUUGCACCUUGAAGGUUUUUUUUUGGUGAAAUUUAUCUUCUUUACAAAUUCUGCAAAGAUUGCUCAGGUUUCAUAACAUCUUAUUCCUGAUGCUGCCUUAUUGACUCUGAUUAGCAGGGAGCAAACCUGGCUGUGUGUUUGUAUGUGCGCAGGCUUUGACACUGUUUGUUCACACUGUGUAAAAGCGAGCUCCCUGUCGUGCAGUAACAGCCCGUGUGAUGAAGGUGUCUGCCCUUGAACAGCGUGUUUCCCUUUUGUCAUCCUUACAUAAAGUCCUAAUUUUCACCUGGAUUUCCUGACAUGAAUGCGGCUGCGGUUUGAUUUACCGAGGCGGCUGAUUUGUGUUUGCUGCAGAGCUGUGAGGCGCUAACACUCCCCAGACUUGUUCAAGGGAAAAAACCCCACAGAUGGCUUUAAUUGUACAGCAGCUCGAUGAAGCAUGCUCGCCAAACCAAACACUGCUUUAUGACUGAGGAGGGGAGGAGGACUGCAAAGUGUCCAACACACACUGAGACAUGCAUGCACACCCACACACACACACACACACACACACACACAGAGGUCUGGCUGGUGCUGCCUGUCGCUGGCUUUCUGAGUGUUUACUUGCCGUAUGAGGGGGGAUCCUGGGAGGCAGCUAUUUUUAGCUCUGGUUUCAUCAUUCCUCUCUCUCCACUCUGUGUGCAGCUGCAGGCUGGAGCUGCAUCCUAAUGAAGAGACGAGCGGAUGGCAGUAAAACACCUUUUGUUUGCUUCAGAGAGAAAGGCUCCAGCAACUCGGUCGAUACUAAAAUUCAAGAUUAAACGUGGAAGAAGAGCUGGAUGUUAUGGUAAGAAAGUGGACACACAUUUACAUGUAGAGUAAGGUGCAAAGGAAGUUGAGUCCACAGUUGCACAUACUGGAU
rnacentral:lncRNA from 1 species